CUUCUCCACGCACAUCCUCACUCCUUCCUCAACCUCCUCUUCAGCCACUGCCGACCCAUGGCGAGCUCCUCACGUCGCGCCCUCCCCCUACUGCGGCAUGUCGGCGCCCUCGAUUCCUCAGCCUGGCGCGCUGCCCCUUUUCCCUGUCUCUGCGCACGAGGUGCUCCAGCUUGCCGGUCAUCUUCUGCUCCUCCCCCAUGGCCGUCCCUCCCUCAUCUCUCCCCAUGGCCGACGGCCUCUCCUUCCAUGGCUUCCAAGAUCUGCUCAGCAUCCAUCCCAGCGCGCACCCCUGCUUCUGUUUCCUGGUGGCCGACGCCACUCCCUGGAGCUCGCCCCUGCCCUCUGUCCAGCGCCCUCCCUGCUCCUUCCCAUGGUGUGGACGCCAGCCCCCUCUCUUGUUGCCAUGGAUAGCCCCUCCCAUCUCCUUCCCUCUCUAACCCUAGCCCCUCUCUACUGGCUGCCUUUCCCAUGCCAACACUUUCCCCAUGGCCGAGUUUCCCCUAUGCUUGAUGCAUGGCGCCUUGGUACAACAGCAGCAUGUCAGACCUUUGCAACCCCGGUGAGACCAGCUGCUUGCGCUAUGUUUAUUCCUCACUAGUGCCUAUGUUUGAGUAUUAAUUGUGUAUGUUUAUGUGUGUUGGUGGUGGAGCUAAAUCCCAGAAGAUUUAGAUAAGGAGAAGAAGGUUUUAGCGGGGUACCUGUCACGUGUUCGAUGAUAUGCUCGAACUGGUGGCCAUCGUCGUUCUUGCUAAAAAUCAAGUCAGAUCAUGAGGUACGUUAAUUGAUCACGUGAUGUUGAAGACAAGGUUUGGAUUGAUCUCAAGAUAAUGCUGAUGGACGAAGCUAAAGUGGGUGAAUCGAACAAGUGCCAGGAUGAGAGAUGCUCACCAAGCGUUAGUACUUUUGUGAAUGAUUUUGUAAAGUGUUUGCAAAUAUGUGCAAAACAUAAUAACAUGUGUAGGUUUUGUGAA